UGACGGGUAACGGGGAAUUAGGGUUCGAUUCCGGAGAGGGAGCCUGAGAAACGGCUACCACAUCUAAGGAAGGCAGCAGGCGCGCAAAUUACCCAAUCCUAAUACAGGGAGGUAGUGACAAGAAAUAACAAUACAGGACUUAAUUGUUUUGUAAUUGGAAUGAGUUAAGUAUAAACCCCUUUACAAGUAUCAAUUGGAGGGCAAGUCUGGUGCCAGCAGCCGCGGUAAUUCCAGCUCCAAUAGCGUAUAUUAAAGUUGUUGCAGUUAAAAAGCUCGUAGUUGGAUUUCUGUUAAUAUUUUAUAUUAUUAGUUAUUAUUAUUAAUAUAAUAUUAACAUAAUUCAUAUUACUUUUUUUAAGUAUAUGAAAUUUUACUUUGAGAAAAUUAGAGUGCUUAAAGCAGGCAAUUGCCUUGAAUACUCCAGCAUGGAAUAAUAUUAAAGAUUUUUAUCUUUCUUAUUGGUUCUAAGAUAGAAAUAAUGAUUAAUAGGG
rnacentral:rRNA from 1 species